GGAGGGAUGGCUGAGUGGUCGAAAGCACCGGUCUUGAAAACCGGCAAGGGUUAAUAGCUCUUCUAGGGUUCAAAUCCCUAUCCCUCCGCCA
rnacentral:tRNA from 3 species